rnacentral:lncRNA from 1 species
CCAGAAAGCACGUGAGAUUUAUAUCAUUGCAUCAUGAUGAUUUAAUUUCGUAACAUUUGGAUCCUGUGUAUACAUAUUAUGCUAUUUUGAUUUUACAUAAAGUCAACUUGUAUCGGUGAUAACUGUAUCGCCUUGCAUACGAAAGUUCCGAUUUCACCAAAAGAGCCAUUUUUACUGUUUAUUGAUGUCGACCCAGUUUAUCUGUUGAGCUACACGUGUGUUAUACACUUAUCCAGGAAUUACUUUUAG